UCUUCCCCCAUUCUACUAUAUUAUACAAAAUAAAUAUUAUAGAGUAGGGUGGGGGAAGACGGGAC
rnacentral:miRNA from 1 species